GUGGCGGACGGGUGAGUAAUGUCUGGGAAACUGCCCGAUGGAGGGGGAUAACUACUGGAAACGGUAGCUAAUACCGCAUAACGUCGCAAGACCAAAGUGGGGGACCUUCGGGCCUCACACCAUCGGAUGUGCCCAGAUGGGAUUAGCUAGUAGGCGGGGUAAUGGCCCACCUAGGCGACGAUCCCUAGCUGGUCUGAGAGGAUGACCAGCCACACUGGAACUGAGACACGGUCCAGACUCCUACGGGAGGCAGCAGUGGGGAAUAUUGCACAAUGGGCGCAAGCCUGAUGCAGCCAUGCCGCGUGUAUGAAGAAGGCCUUCGGGUUGUAAAGUACUUUCAGCGGGGAGGAAGGCGAUGUGGUUAAUAACCGCGUCGAUUGACGUUACCCGCAGAAGAAGCACCGGCUAACUCCGUGCCAGCAGCCGCGGUAAUACGGAGGGUGCAAGCGUUAAUCGGAAUUACUGGGCGUAAAGCGCACGCAGGCGGUCUGUUAAGUCAGAUGUGAAAUCCCCGGGCUCAACCCGGGAACUGCAUUUGAAACUGGCAGGCUUGAGUCUCGUAGAGG
rnacentral:rRNA from 1 species